UACGGAGGGUGCAAGCGUUGUCCGGAAUUAUUGGGCGUAAAGAGCUCGUAGGCGGUUUGUCGCGUCUGCUGUGAAAAUCCAGGGCUUAACCCUGGACCUGCAGUGGGUACGGGCAGACUAGAGUGCGGUAGGGGAGAUCGGAAUUCCUGGUGUAGCGGUGAAAUGCGCAGAUAUCAGGAGGAAUACCGAUGGCGAAGGCAGGUCUCUGGGCUGACACUGACGCUCAUGCACGAAAGCGUGGGGAUCAAACAGG
rnacentral:rRNA from 1 species